GGAUGUGAGGGCAAUCUGGCUGCGACAUCUGUCACCCCAUUGAUCACCAGGGUUGAUUCGGCUGAUCUGGCUGGCUAGGCGGGUGUCCCCUUCCUCCCUCACCGCUCCAUGUGUGUCCCUCCCAAAGCUGUGCACUCGGUCAAAGAGGACGACCAUCCCCGCUAGAGGAGGACCGGUCUUCGGUCAAGGGUAUACGAGUAGCUGCGCUCCCCUGCUAGAACCUCCAAACAAGCUCUCAGAUUGGCUCAGCUCCAACUGUUGGGGCUGCUUGGGGAGUGAAUCAGCGGAUGGAUAAUUUUCCUCUGUAUAUUUGACUUUC
ensembl:misc_RNA 7SK 7SK RNA